UACGUAGGGUGCAAGCGUUGUCCGGAAUUAUUGGGCGUAAAGAGCUCGUAGGCGGUCUGUCGCGUCGGCUGUGAAAUCCCGGAGCUCAACUCCGGGUCUGCAGUCGAUACGGGCAAACUGGAGUACUGCAGGGGAGACUGGAAUUCCUGGUGUAGCGGUGAAAUGCGCAGAUAUCAGGAGGAACACCGAUGGCGAAGGCAGCCCCCUGGGAUAACACUGACGCUCAUGCACGAAAGCGUGGGGAGCAAACAGG
rnacentral:rRNA from 1 species